rnacentral:lncRNA from 1 species
AUGGUCACAUCCUACUGGGGUCAGCGUCGGAGCAGGAGAUUGGCUCCGGGAUGCGGGGUCAAGAUUCGUUUUGGGUUAUUGAUUGGCCACGACGAGAGGCCAAAAAUAGGUCUCGGGGUCCCAAAGCGGGGCCUGAAGUCCCACGUGCCACAUUCCCAUUGGCCGUCUCUCUGGUGCGGCCCAGGUAAAAUGGAAAUUGCACCACCCAACGUGACACCGAACCGAAGAAGGAAACCAGCAGAUGAGGAUGGCGGGAACAGCACCUGUGAGGAUGUGCAGUCUGGGAGUGGUCAGCAGGAACGAUUGUGAGCACACUGGCCAUGUGAGGUACAGAAAGGGGUUUGGGGUGGUUGGAAUGUCAAGUGGGGGGAAUGGAGCAGGAGGGGUCCGGUGAGGAUCAGGCACUCAGGGGCACGCGACUCCUGAUGUGCCUAGUCCAGGAGGCCGGACACUAUCCCUAGAGCAGCGGACAGCCCCCACAGAGGUUUGAACAGGUGUGGCGUUCCUAGAUUAGGACUUCAGAAAGGUUCCUCGGGCAGUGGAAUGGAAAAAGGGUGGCAAAGGAUCAGGAUUGGUGGUGGUCGUGCAGAGUAGAGCUGAGGGUGACCUGGACUAGGGAUCUCACUGUGGUGAUGGAGAGAAGUGGCAGGAUCUUGCCUAGACUUAGGAGCAGAAAGGCAGGGCUUGGUGCCUGAGGGGAUGGUGAGACAGAGGCGGCAGGCACAGAUGACUGUAAGGAUCUCUGGCCAAAGCAGCCGGGGAGAAGGCUGCCUUGCACUGAGUCAGGCAAACACUAGAGGAGGUGCAGAUGUGUGUAGGGACUCGGGGUGGAUGGCUUAGUUUGGACGGGCUGAAUGUUCCUUGCCUUUGGGAUUCAAACAAGUAUGACCUGAAUGACGUGGGGGAGCUGACCUAACCUCUCUGUGCCCAAGACACCUCAUCAGUGAGAGGAGAAUGAGUCUGAUGAUGAAGAAAACUGCUUUCUGUGUCAUUAAUUUAGUCUAGGGGAAUUUUCUUUUACACCACAAAGUACCGUUUGACUGUCAGUUACCCCCUAGGUACAAUGGCAACGUCUCUACCUGUACGCAUGUCUGCUGGGCUUUACAUAUCUGCUUUGUGUCUCCUCUCCAUGUGGCCACUGUGCAUCAUGUAUUGCCAACUGUAAAACAAAUAAAUAAAUAAAUUUAAAAUAACA